UACGUAGGGGGCAAGCGUUGUCCGGAAUCAUUGGGCGUAAAGCGCGUGUAGGCGGCCUUGUAAGUCCGUUCUGAAAGCCUGGGGCUCAACCCCAGGAGGCGGAUGGAUACUGCAAGGCUCGAGUACGGAAGAGGCGAGUGGAAUUCCCGGUGUAGCGGUGAAAUGCGCAGAUAUCGGGAGGAACACCAAUGGCGAAGGCAGCUCGCUGGGACGUUACUGACGCUGAGACGCGAAAGCGUGGGGAGCAAACAGG
rnacentral:rRNA from 1 species